AAUUUCUCAGGAGGUUCACCACUACAAUUCAUCCAGACCAUCGGCCCUUAUACAGCGCCUCUAAUUGGCACUGUGGUUCCAACAGGGCCUACAUACGUGAUUGGUGAGUCCACUGUAAAAGCAUCAUUAAACAGCUGCAUGUGCCUGCAUGCCUGCAUGUUAUUUUAAUGUUGUGCACUGUAUCUCUAAUUUCACAUUCAGUAUCUGCAGUGUCGCCGCAAUGUGUGAGUCCAGGCACUCAGAUAAUUCCUCUUUCACCUGCCGAUGGCACAGUUGCCCCGCCAGAGCUCACUGGUUCCGUACUUCCAGUUGGCUCAUCUUCAGACAGUGCAUGCCAGGGUUUGCCACCAGUAUCUGUAGACACACUCUCCCCUACAAAAGAAGGAAACCCACAAAAAAACUAUGAUUCCACACCUCCAAAAACCGAAAGGAAAAUCCGCCCAGAAGCACCAGGUAAGAAACCAAUUUAAAGGGGUCAUAUGAUGCUUUUUUAAAGAUCAUUAUUUUGUGUAUUUGGUGUAACAGAAUAUGUUGACAUGCUUUAAUGUUCAAAAAACACAUUAUUUUUCAAAUACUGUACAUUAUUGUAGGUCCUCUAUGCCCCGCCUCUCUCAAACGCUUAGUUUUCUACAAAGUCCCUCCUUCCGACAAGCGCAGUCUGAUCUGAUUGGCCAGCUGACCCAGUGCAUUGUGAUUGGCCGAACACCGCAAGCACUCGUCGGAAAUGUAACGCCCCUUAUCAUAAUCGCGAGCUUCAUCUUUCAAAAUAAAUGUAAAGACAGUAAAUAAUGUCAUUAGUUUUACCAUCAGUUCAAGCCCGAAAGGGGAACAGAGUCGCGUGACAGACACAGUGAUGAAGCUGGUAUGUGUUUGCAGUACAUAAGCCACGGUUAAGACAGCUGACUCCACUGUGAUGUGACCCUGUCUCUCUCUCUCUCUCACACACACACACACACACGAUGCGCAAAACUCUGCAUUUGAACAGUCAAUAGCAAAUACUUAAACUAAUAACAAAACAGUAGCUGAUUCAGAAGCGCCAGAUUAUCAUAGCAAAAAACAGACAUCCCUCCUCUCCUAGGUUCACGAAUCGGUCGUCCAUAAAAUGCAUUGCUGUUCUGUUGUAAAUGAUCUUAAAGAUUCCUAAAUGCAUCUACUUUUCAAAUGCAUAGCACUGCCAACGUCUCCCUGACAUGGCUGCUUCAACACUAACUGCGGUUACUGAAACCUUCAUUGUGUUUACGAGACCAGCAGUGCCAAAUUUGCCAAACUGCUGUUGAAGAACCUGCCUGACAAUCUGUCAUUCUAUGGGACGCAGCUUUGCCCAUUGGACGUGUAUGUUAUAUGCCAUCUCCUUCAACAAGCCAGCGCAUUGAAGCGGACCUUCUCCAUUAACCUGCAAGAUACAUGUAUUCCCAUCUGUGGCCUCAAAGAGCUUGUGGGACUCAAAUGUAUCAAAUCAUUCUGGUGA
rnacentral:lncRNA from 1 species